AUGACCUGCAGCAGCAGCUGAGACACCUGGGAAGGAAUGCAUCUUUCCUUCUGUAGGCUUCAGUCGAGAACUCUUGGUCACCUUGGUAAUACCAGGUUGGAUGUCCAAAGUUGCAGAAAAAAGACCAGAACUUUCAGGAAAAAACUUACUGUAUCAGGCAAAAGUGAAGUCAAUGUUCCAGGAAGUUCAUCCCCAAAAAAAGGCAGCUGUCUCUGGAAAAUGUAACCACAGUGGUGGUGUGUAAACCCAAACUUUUACCCUUAAAAUCUCUGACUCUGGAAAAACUAGAGAAAAUGCACCAAGCAGCAAAGGAUACAAGUAGCCAACAAGAAAUGGCAGAAAAGGAACAAUGGUAAAUAACCCACUGA